CGGCGCCUCAAGUGGUAGUCGCUUUUAUUGGGCCUAAAACGUCCGUAGCCGGUCUGGUGCAUUCGUGGGUAAAUCAACCCGCUCAACGGUUGAAUUCUGCGAGCACGGCCAGACUUGGGACCGGGAGAGGUGUGGGGUACUCUCAGGGUAGGGGUAAAAUCCUGUCAUCCUGAGAGGACCACCUGUUGCGAAGGCC
rnacentral:rRNA from 1 species